CAGCAGCACGUAUACGUAAGGAGGCAAGCGUAUCUGGCAUUACUGGGUGUAAAAGGAGACGUAGUCGGCCUGCGUUAAGUCAGCAGUGAAAGCCCGCGGCUCACUACCUGCGGACUGCUUUUGUACUACAUGCCUGAUUGCAGCAGGAGGCAAAGUAGAAGUCCUUAGUGUAGCGGUGAAAUGCGCAGAUAUUAGGAGGGAACAACCACUGGCGAAGGCGGCUUGCUGGACUGUAAAUGACGCUGAGGCUCGAAAGCGUGGGGAGCAAACAAGGAUUAGAUACCCUGGUAGUGCACGCCGUAAACGAUGAAUACUAGGUGUCGGGGGGGCAUGGCCCUUCGGUGCCGCAGCAAACGCAGUAAGUAUUCCUCCUGGGGAGUACGUUCGCAAGAAUGAAACUCAAAGGAAUUGACGGGGACCCGCACAAGCGGUGGAGCAUGUGGUUUAAUUUGAAGCAACGCGAAGAACCUUACCAGGCCUUGACAUCCCAUUGCAUACAGAGUAAUGUCUGUAGUCUUUCGGGACAAUGGAGACAGGUGGUGCAUGGUUGUCGUCAGCUCGUGUCGUGAGAUGUUGGGUUAAGUCCCGCAACGAGCGCAACCCUUACCUUCAGUAGCCAGCGGAUAAAGCCGGGCACUCUGGAGGGAGUGCCAGGGACAACCUGGAGGAAGGUGGGGAGGACGUCAAAUCAUCAUGCCCCUUAUGGCCUGGGGUACACACGUGCUACAAUGGCGUAAACAAAGGGAAGCGAAAGAGCGAUCCGGAGCAAAUCCCAGAAACAACGUCCCAGUUCGGAUUGCAGGCUGCAACCCGCCUGCAUGAAGCUGGAAUCGCUAGUAAUCGCGAAUCAGAAUGUCGCGGUGAAUACGUUCCCGGGUCUUGUACACACCGCCCGUCAAG
rnacentral:rRNA from 1 species